ACAGCAGCCGCCACGGGAACACCGAGGGUGCAAGCGUUAAUCGGAAUUACUGGGCGUAAAGCACGCGUAGGUGGUUUGUUAAGUUGGAUGUGAAAGCCCCGGGCUCAACCUGGGAACUGCAUUUGAAACUGUCAGGCUGGAGUCUUGUAGAGGGGGGUGGAAUUCCAGGUGUAGCGGUGAAAUGCGUAGAGAUCUGGAGGAAUACCGGUGGCGAAGGCGGCCCCCUGGACAAAGACUGACGCUCAGGUGCGAAAGCGUGGGGAGCAAACAGGAUUAGAUACCCGAGUAGUCCCUGUCUCUUAUAC
rnacentral:rRNA from 1 species